rnacentral:rRNA from 1 species
AUUGAACGCUGGCGGCAGGCCUAAUACAUGCAAGUCGAGCGAGCGGCGGACGGGUGAGUAAUGUCUGGGAAACUGCCUGAUGGAGGGGGAUAAAUACUGGAAACGGUAGCUAAUACCGCAUACCAUCAGAUGUGCACAGAUGUGAUUAGCUAGUAGGUGGGGUAACGGCUCACCUCGGCGACGAUCCCUAGCUGGUCUGAGAGGAUGACCAGCCCCACUGGGACUGAGACACGGUCCAGACGCCUACGGGAGGCAGCAGUGGGGAAUAUUGCACAAUGGGCGCAAUCCUGAUGCAGCCAUGCCGCUUGUGUGAAGAAGGUCUUCGGAUUGUAAAGCACUUUAAGUUGGGAGGCGUUACCAACAGAAUAAGCACCGGCUAACUUCGUGCCAGCAGCCGCGGUAAUUC